rnacentral:rRNA from 1 species
UACGAAGGGUGCAAGCGUUACUCGGAAUUACUGGGCGUAAAGCGUGCGUAGGUGGUUUGUUAAGUCUGCUGUGAAAGCCCCGGGCUCAACCUGGGAAUGGCAGUGGAUACUGGCAAGCUAGAGUGCGGUAGAGGGGUGUGGAAUUCCCGGUGUAGCGGUGAAAUGCGUAGAUACUGGGAGGAACACCAGUGGCGAAGGCGGCUACCUGGACCGGUUCUGACGCUGAGGCGCGAAAGCGUGGGUAGCAAACAGG